ensembl:lncRNA
CAUACACACACACACACACACGCACAUAUUCACAUAUACCACACAUUUUAGGAUCAGACUGCUUAAUUAUUUUUGUACCCUAUUUUUUAUUAUUUAGCAAAUCACAGAUAUUAUCCUAUGUGUUUGAAAAUACUUUUUUAGUGUUUGAAAAUACUUUUAUUGUAUGCACAAUUUUAUCAUGUAGAUAUAUAUACUUUUGCUUAACAUUAUCAGAUUAUUUAAUGGUUGAUUUGAUUUUUUUCUUUUACAAAGGACACUGGUGAUUUUCAGUGCACAUGAAUUUUGGACAAAUUUCAUAUUUCUAUAAUUAGAUCACAAGGAAGAAUAUAUAGGUAAAGAUCUAUGGAUUUCUUCCUUUCAUUUUAUUUUCAAUUCAAGAGUAACACACCAAACUAUACUGAAAUCUCUAAAAUAGAAUAUGAAAAUCUCCUGCUCUGGAGACUCACUUUCCUGAAGAAAAGAACAUUUUGUGAGGUCUUUUUAACUUGAACCCGUGCUACCAAAAUAGUUUGUGUUGUAUCCACGUGAAGAUGCAGCUUUGAAUGUAAGCUUUGCAUUAGUGUUCAAUGUCCAGGAUGGCAUUGCGGCCCCAUUAUCUUUUGAUUUGUAACCAGGCGGCAUUGCUUGGGCAUUUCCUAUGACUGACAUUGACCAUUUUUAUUUUCAGGAUUGUGCUACUCCUUUGUCACUCAAGACUAAGAGCCAUUACUAGGUUCCAGACAACAUAAGCUAAUUCUGGCUAGAAUUUAUUGAUGAAGACUCAGAUCUUGAAAUCUGAAUUUAAAACAACCAGCUUUUGGAUGAGCCAGACCAAGGACCCCCAGGGACCUUAGAAGCAGAAGAUAAUGGACCUUUUCUAUAGAACAUUGGACUCUUUGUUUCUCACCUUUAGUGGCCUGAUGUCAAAUGGGUCAUCUUAGUCAAGAAGGCAGGCAGGACCAUGUAUUACAAGCCUAAUUGCUGGGGAUUUUUCUGUAUCUGAAGCAAUUAUAGGCAAAGGGAAUGUUUAGAAGUAAUAAAAUUUUAAGACUUUAAGGGUGAAUGACAGAUAAACUACACAUAUUUAAAGUAUAUAAUUUGGUAUAUUUUGACAUGUGUGUAUACACACCAGGAAACUAUCACCAUAAUGAAGAAAAUGAAGAUAUCCAUAUCUCUGCUGGUUUCCUUUCGUCCUUUUUUCUUUCUUCUCUCUCAGUCCUGUGUCCCUCUUCCUGUACCCAGGCAUCAGCUGACCUGCUUCUGUCAUUGUGGAUUAGUUUGCACUUUCUAGAAUUUUACUUAAAUGGGAUCAUAAGUUCUUUUCUGACUUUUUUCAUUCAGUGUAAUUAUUUUGAGACUUAUCCAUGCUGUAGUAUUUAUCAGUACCUUAUUGCUUUUUAUGGGUGAUUAAUGUUCCAUUGGCUGGCUAUACUAUAGUUUAUUCAUUAAGCUGUUGAUGACAUUAGGGUUCUAGUUUGAGGCUAUUACUGAUAAAGUUGGUAUGAAUAUUUACAUGCAAGUGUUUUCUUUUAGACAUUUGUUUUCAUUUCUCUUGAGUAAAACCUAGGAGUAGAAUGGCCUGGUAAUCCUGUAGGUGGGUGUUUUACUUUUUCAUCAACUGCCAAGAAGUUUUUCAAAGUGGUUGUAUAAUUUUCUAUUCCUACUGGCAACAUGUGAGAGUUCUGGUUCUCUAUCAUCACUAGCACUUGGUUAUAUCCAGGACUUACUUUUUUUUUAUUAAGUUUAUUGGUACAUUUUAGGUAUACAAUACAGUUACUUUCACCAUUGGUAUCUUGUACCUUUACAUGAUAUAUAUUGGUUCUUAUUUUUUCCCCCUUCUCCUGCCAUCCCUUCAACCCCUCCACCCUUCCCUAUUUACAAAGACUUUGUUUCCAUUUUUUCAUUUUCUCAUAAUUUUUCCUUUCCCUUCUUUCCUUUCCCCUACCCCUCCCACUUUCCCUUCCUCCUUUGAACCUUUUCUUCCUAUUUCACGUUAUCAAUCAUACAUUUUGAUCCUUAUUUAUACUUUUAGUUUCUCACACCAGAGAAACUAUUUGGUAUUUACAUAUGCAUGCCCUGUUUAUUUCACUUAAGAGUUGCAUAUCGAGGCCAUACUUUAAGUGAAAUAAAU